ACUCGGAUCUCUCUCCGCUUUUCGCUCUCCUUUCCGUUUCCGGCCUUCCAAGCUCGGCUCCAGGUUCCUUUCUCCCUGCUGUCUCUCCAUCGCCCUGGUUCUCCCUCUCUGCCGCUCUUUCCCGGUAUCUCUGUGGGUCUCUUGCUGACUCAGUCUCCUUUGCUCUCUGUGUCUCCCCGUUAACGUCUUUCUCUGUCUCUGUUGAUUGCCUCUGCAGUGGGUGGAAAGAGAUCUUUCUCUCUCUCUGCCAAUUUAUGUCUAUGCGUGCCUCUGUGCCUGUAUUAUCUCUGUCUCUGUCUCUCUCUAUCUCUGUCUCUAAUUCUCUCUCCCUGUCUCUGGCUCUGUUAUCUCUGUCUCUGUAUCUCUCUGUCUAACUCUGUCUCUGGCUGUUAUCUCUGUCUCUCAUUGUAUCUCUCUCUGACUCUCUCUCCCUGUCUCUGGCUCUGUUAUCACUGGCUCUGUCUCUCUAUCUGUCUUCUCUCUCUCUGCCUCUGACUCUCUCUCCCCAUGUCUGGCUCUGUUAUCUCUGUCUAUAUAUCUCUCUCUGUCUCUGACUCUCUCUCCCUAUCUCUGGCUCCGUUAUCUCUGUCUCUGUAUCUGUCUCUGGCUCUGUUAUCUCUGUCUCUCUAUCUCUGUCUCUGACUGUCUCUGGCUCUGUUAUCUUUCUCCCUCUCUCUGCUUCUGUUAUCUCUGUCGCUGUCUCUGGCUGUGACUCUCUCUCUCUGUCUCUGUGUCUGGCUCUCUCUGUCUCUGUCUCUGACUCUGUCUCUGGCUCUGUUAUCUCUGUCUCUAUGUCUCUGUCUCUGUGUCUCUCUCCCUGUCUCUGGCUCUUUUAUCUAUGUCUGUCUGUCUCUUUCUCUCUGUCUCUGACUCUCCCUAUCUCUGGCUCUGUUAUCUCUGUGUCUGUCUCUCUGUCUCUGACACUCUCUCCCUGUCUCUGGCUCUGCUAUCUCUGUCUCUGUAUCUCUCUUUGUCUCUGCCUCUCCCUGUCUCUGGCUCUUUUAUCUAUGUCUGUCUUGUGUCUCUUUCUCUCUGUCUCUGACUCUCCCUAUCUCUGGCUCUGUUAUCUCUGUGUCUGUCUCUGUCUCUGACACUCUCUCCCUGUCUCUGGCUCUGUUAUCUCUGUCUCUGUCUCUCUGUCUCUGGCUCUGUUAUCUCUGUCUCUGUAUCUCUCUUUGUCUCUGCCUCUCCCUGUCUCUGGCUCUUUUAUCUGUGUCAGUCUGUGUGUUUCUUUCUCUCUGUCUCUGACUCUCCCUAUCUCUGGCUCCGUUAUCUCUGUCUCUCUCCAUCUCUGACUCCCUCUCUUUAUGCAUCUCUGUGUCUCUCCCUGUCUCUGUAUGUCUCUGGCUCUCACUCUUUCUGUCUCUCUCCCUGUUUCUCUCUGUCUCUGAUUCCCUCUGUCUCUCUCUGACUCUCUGUCUCUCCCUGUCUCUCUCCUUUUCCUUCUUUAGUCUCUCUUUGUCUCCUUCCCCUCCUCUCAGCACCCCCUAGCCCCCCAUCACUAGGACUCCCCCGGGUUCCCCCACAUCCAGCACUUCCUAAGAAGGGUCAGGCUUCAGCCAAGCCUCAACCACCCUCACUCCUGGAGCAUCUGCCCCCUGAUCCCCAACCCCCCAGUGGAACCCUGAGUGUCAUGCUCAGCCCUCCUGGCCACCUUCCCCGGGACCCCUGGGCCUUCCCUGGCCUGCCCCCACCCACCCACUGGAUGGUUCCCGGCAGGAGCCCCUCGGGACCCUACAAGCAGAAGCUCGGAGAGUCCAGGUGGAGAAAUUCCCCUUGCAAGAAAGGGACAGUGUUGAGCGAGUUGGAGGAAACACAUUUCCCAUCUGCUCUGGCCUGCUGGAGGCGGCCAAUCCGGGGCUGGGAGGAUGGGCCAAGAAGCGGUGAAAACUUGGCCCCAAAAGAGGAAGCACUCCCAGAUGGAGAGGGACGUGACCCGGGGAAAGCCCUUGGCUGGUGUUGAAGUCCUGGUCUGCCCAGACCAGUGUGGGUCCACAAUGGCCAACUCCCUUCCCAUCUCCCAGCCCCAUGGGAGAUGGGAGGGUAGACCACGCCUUUCAUCCCUCUGCUAGCAGAAGUCAACAGCCCAUAAAAUAAAGGGACUUUUGUUUUGCUUUCAGAUACAAGGUCUUGCUCUGUCGCCCAAGCUGGAGUGCAGUGGCACGAUCAUAGCCCACUGCAGCCUCCAAUCCUGGGUUCAAGCCAUCCUCCUGUCUUAGACUCCUGAAUAGCUGGAACUACAGGCACAUACCACCAUGCCUACCAAUUUUUUUUUUUAAUUUUUUACUUUUUAUAGAGACAGGGUCUUGCUAUGUUGCUCAGCUGGUCUCAAACUCCUGGACUCAAGCAAUGCUCCUGUCUUGGCCUCUCAGCACUGUGAUGCCAGUCAUGCGUUACCGUGCCCAGUCAUAAGGUAGACUUCUCAUUCAACAGAACAAGUAUCUUCCAGGUCAGCACUGUGUCUGAUCCUGUAUUGGGCCUCCCUGGGGGAUUGCAGAGAAAACAGUAAUGUUACUGGCUAGUGUUGAAGGAGCAUUACCAAAUGCUAAACACUUCCUAUAUACGGUUUGGGUACUCCACGUGUGAGGCCCGACCCAGCAACAGGGCCACUAUCAAUUAGCUAUGCAAAUUCUAGCACCCCGCCUAAACCUCCGGAAACUCUCAGAGGGGGUGUCCUCCAGAAGAUUCCGACGGCCCCGCAAGUUUGAGAAUGCCACUUGUGCCCACGUUUUUCCUUCGCAUCUGCUAUUCCUCGGCCUGGAACAUUCUUUCCCCAGAACCGCAACUGCCAGACACUUUCUCACCACUCAUGUCUCCCUUUACACCAUCCCUUCCGGGUCAAGAUGACAAACUGAACCAGCCUCUGUUUUCACUGUCUCCUGAAACUUCACUGUAGUCACACUUGAGCAAUUGUUCGUAAACCAAAAAAAAAAAAUUACAAGCCAGCAGAACGGAAAGGUGAGUUUCCUUAGAUUUCCACCACCCCUAAGACCUACUCGUUGGUGAAUCCCCUCAACUAUGAAUAAUGUGGUGGAUGGCGGCUAAAAUACAGAAGUUUGCCAUAGAUAAAUUUGCAGAAGAAGGCCGGGCGCAGUGGCUCACGCCUGUAAUCCCAGCACUCUGGGAGGCUGAGGCAGGUGGAUCACCUGAGGUCAGGAGUUCAAGACCAGCCUGACUAACAUGGUGAACCCCAUCUCUACUAAAAAUACUAAAAUUAGCCAGGCGUGAUGGCAGAUGCCUAUAAUCCCAGUUACUCGGGAGGUUGAGGCAAGAGAAUCCUUGAACCCGG
rnacentral:lncRNA from 10 species